UGUAUUGGAUAUAAUCCUAUGUGUAUUGGAUUCUCUUGACAGUAAUAUAUAUGAUAAACUGGAUACUAAAAAGUGUGUAGUCAACAUGUUCUUCAUCUACAUGUUCAGCGACAAUAUAAAAGUCUUCAAUCUCGACCCACGUUCCUUCGAUUAGAAGAGGUUCGUAAUGACGAAUAAAUGUUGAUGUGAUCCUGAUCGAACCAGAUGACAAUACAAACGUGGUCAAGCCCAGAUGUUCAACUGAAGACGAAUUAGAAAACAAUGCAAGCAUGGUCAAGUUCAGAUGGUCAGGUGAAGAACAUGGAAAUAAUCUUGAACGAGAGGGAGAGCUUGAAGAUGAAUGUAUCUUAACCAUUCCAGGAGGUCCAAUGACUUGUGCAAGAUCAAAUAAGUUCAAGGAAGCUGUUAGUGGAAUG
rnacentral:lncRNA from 1 species